ACUUCUAUCCGGAGGCAAGCAGUGGGAUAUGCACAAUGGGGGAAAACCUGAUGCAGGCAUGGCCGCGUGUGUGAAGAACGCUUUCGGAUGUAAGCACUUCAGUCGUGAGGAAAGCAGUUAUCGUUAAUCAGCGGUUAUUCGUUUGACGUUUAGCGACAGAAGAAGCAACCGGCCUAACUCCGUGCCAGCAGCCGCGGUAAUACGGAGGGUGCGAGCGUUAAUCGGAAUUACUGGGCGUAAAGCGCAUGCAGGCGGCUUGUUAAGCCAGAUGUGAAAGCCCGGGGCUCAACCUCGGAAUCGCAUUUGGAACUGGCAGGCUAGAGUCUUGUAGAGGGGGGUAGAAUUUCAGGUGUAGCGGUGAAAUGCGUAGAGAUCUGAAGGAAUACCGGUGGCGAAGGCGGCCCCCUGGACAAAGACUGACGCUCAGAUGCGAAAGCGUGGGGAGCAAACAGGAUUAGAUACCCUGGUAGUCCACGCCGUAAACGAUGUCUACUUGGAGGUUGGUGUCUUGAACACUGGCUUUCGGAGCUAACGCGUUAAGUAGACCGCCUGGGGAGUACGGUCGCAAGAUUAAAACUCAAAUGAAUUGACGGGGGCCCGCACAAGCGGUGGAGCAUGUGGUUUAAUUCGAUGCAACGCGAAGAACCUUACCUACUCUUGACAUCCAGAGAACUUUCCAGAGAUGGAUUGGUGCCUUCGGGAACUCUGAGACAGGUGCUGCAUGGCUGUCGUCAGCUCGUGUUGUGAAAUGUUGGGUUAAGUCCCGCAACGAGCGCAACCCUUAUCCUUGUUUGCCAGCACUUCGGGUGGGAACUCCAGGGAGACUGCCGGUGAUAAACCGGAGGAAGGUGGGGACGACGUCAAGUCAUCAUGGCCCUUACGAGUAGGGCUACACACGUGCUACAAUGGCGCAUACAGAGGGCUGCAAGCUAGCGAUAGUGAGCGAAUCCCAAAAAGUGCGUCGUAGUCCGGAUUGGAGUCUGCAACUCGACUCCAUGAAGUCGGAAUCGCUAGUAAUCGUGGAUCAGAAUGCCACGGUGAAUACGUUCCCGGGCCUUGUACACACCGCCCGUCACACCAUGGGAGUGGGCUGCACCAGAAGUAGAUAGCAUAACCUUACAGAGUAACCAGCCAGAGUAGUCGGA
rnacentral:rRNA from 1 species